AUUAUCUCAUUCUCUACAUGAACUCAUCUUCACUAAUCUAAAAUAGGUGACACAAGCAAAACUGCAGAUACCAGCAGCACUGCAAAAGCUGUGAGUUAUGAUAUCAAUCACCCAUAUUAUCUCAACAAUUCUGAUUCUCCUGGGAUGACUCUAGUCAACACCUUGUUUGAUGGAAGAGGAUAUCCAGGAUAGAGGAGGUCAUUUUGUUAUCUCUAUCAACUAAGAAGAAACUUGAUUUAUCAAUAGAGCAUGUAAAUAUCCAGAUCUGAGUUCCCCAGAUCUUGAACAAUGAAGCUGUGUCAAUGACAUGGUGAUUUCCUGGAGUUUGAAUGUCAUUUCUAAGGAUAUCGCAGACAAUGUGCUAUACUCCCAAAACUGCGAAGGAGCUUUAGGAUAGCUUGGAGCAGAGGUUUAGAAAUUCAAAUGGAGCCAAGCUAUAAUCAUCUGCAAAAAGAGUUGUCAGGAUUAGUGCAGGGAAAUAGUGAUAUUGCAGGAUACUUCACUAAACUCAAAUUAUUAUGGCAUGGAUUGGAUGCUUUAAAUGUUAUCAUAUGUUGUUCUUGUGUUUUUACUUGCGAAGUAAACGAAAAAUUAACGGUCACUUGAAGAUUAGAUGUUGAUUCAAUUCCUCAUGGGAUUGAAUGAUAUAUAUGCAUAAGCAAGAGGAAACAUACUCAUGAUAAAUCCUUUGCCUGGUAUAGAUGUUGCUUAUUCUCUUCUCUUGCAAGAUGAAGGUCAAAGAGAAGUUUAUGCAAACGCACAUUUCAACUCAGAUUCAUCGUCAUUUUGGUAGCAGGAGAAGUGAAACAACCUAAUGCCCAACUUUUAGUUGAUUUUGCAGCUUUAUGGUGACAUGGCACGGGAGAAACUUUCUGGAAAAUAGGAACCAAGCACAAAGAGCAGCAACAGUAGGAACAAAAUAUAGUAAUUCAGGACAGAAGUUCACCAAACUACAACAGAAGUUUAAGGCAAAAAAGAGGUACAAUCCAAAUGUCUCUUGUACUUAUUAUGGAAAAACAGGGCAUACUCAAGAGGAUUGAUAUAGAAUCAUUGGAUUUUAAGAUGAUUUUGAGUUUACCAAUCAAAAGAACUAUCAAAAUAAGAUCAAGGCAAAUGCAGUUCUGGCACAUGAAGAUAAUGAGAAUCAGACAAGACAUAAUACUAAAAGCAUCAACAAUUUUGAGCAACAACUUAACAAGAAACAUCUUGCAGAAAUGGUGAACAUGUAUAAGCAGGAAAAGUUGGCACAAACAGGAAAUUCAGGAAUCAAUGCUAAUGUAGUUGCUGGUACUAUUCAAAAAAUUUCAGUUUCAGUGUUUACCACUCUAAAUUCUGACACAUAGAUCAUUAAUUCAUGUGCUUCAGAGCAUAUAUGUUUUGAUCGCAAUUCUUUCUUUUUUCUAACUCAAUUUUCUGUGCCUUUGAGUAUCAAUUUACCUAAUUCCUUCAAGGUAAUUGUUACUCAUAUAGGAAGUGUUUCUAUGCUGCCAGGUCAUGUCUUAAAUAAUGUCUUACAUGUUCCAUAUUUCAAAUACAACCUAUUAUCGUAGAUAGGUUUUGCAUUCAGUUCAAAUAUGAUGUCUUAUUCACACCUAUUGGGCAUGUGUUGCAGGGCCUUUUAAUGAAGAGUCCACAAGCUUUUUGUGAAAGUUAAAGAAGGACUUACAUAUUAGUGUUGGAAACACGUUCUCAAGGCUUUAUACUAAAACGUGUGUUCUUAUGUGUAGGUUU
rnacentral:lncRNA from 1 species